rnacentral:rRNA from 1 species
GACGAACGCUGGCGGCAUGCCUAAUACAUGCAAGUCGAACGCACGAAGUUGAAAAGCUUGCUUUCCGACCAARUGAGUGGCGGACGGGUGAGUAACACGUGGGUAACCUGCCCAUAAGAGGGGGAUAACAUUCGGAAACGGAUGCUAAUACCGCAUAUUUCAAGUGACCGCAUGGUCGCUUGAUGAAAGGUGGCUUCGGCUACCACUUAUGGAUGGACCCGCGGUGCAUUAGUUAGUUGGUGAGGUAAUGGCUCACCAAGACCAUGAUGCAUAGCCGACCUGAGAGGGUGAUCGGCCACACUGGGACUGAGACACGGCCCAGACUCCUACGGGAGGCAGCAGUAGGGAAUCUUCCGCAAUGGACGAAAGUCUGACGGAGCAAUGCCGCGUGAG